CGAAAUCUUGGUUUAUAUACAGGGCCUUCCGUAAGACCCAUGGUUUGAAUUUUUGGGUGCCCCUACCCAGUAGGGGCAA
rfam:Haemonchus contortus, ISE/inbred ISE, WGS project CAVP01000000 data, contig: Hcontortus_37482